rnacentral:rRNA from 1 species
UGAGGAAUAUUGGACAAUGGAUGGAAAUCUGAUCCAGCCAUGCCGCGUGCAGGAAGACGGCCCUAUGGGUUGUAAACUGCUUUUGUAUGGGAGCAAUAAGGACUACGUGUAGUUUGAUGAGAGUACCAUACGAAUAAGCAUCGGCUAACUCCGUGCCAGCAGCCGCGGUAAUACGGAGGACGCGAGCGUUAUCCGGAUUUAUUGGGUUUAAAGGGUGCGUAGGCGGCGAUAUAAGUCAGUGGUGAAAUAUUUCGGCUUAACCGAGAGACUGCCAUUGAUACUGUGUUGCUAGAAUAUGGUUGCUGUGAGUGGAAUGUGUGGUGUAGCGGUGAAAUGCUUAGAUAUCACACAGAAUAUCGAUUGCGAAGGCAGCUCACAAAGCCAUUAUUGACGCUGAGGCACGAAAGUGUGGGGAUCAAACA